ACAGAUGGAAGGAGAAACAAGAACAAAAACAAGAAACAAGAGAGCAGAUUAAGGUAGUGGCACCUCGGAGCAUACAUAUACAUAGUGGCGGAUAAGUAACUUAACACAGCCAACUGAAACAACAAACAUGUCAGAAAUUGUGCAAGACAAGACAAAAGCAUGCAGCACACACUUUAAACUAAACUCUACAACUCCACACAAGACAAAUGAACAAUGCUAAUUUCACAUUCAUGAUUGGGGCUCUCAGUUUAGGGAGGUGAAACGUGUUCUGGUAGCUGCAUGUCUCAACCCAACAUAUAAAGUCUUUAACAUUGUCACGACCACAAACCUUAAUGUGUUUGAUUGUGUUUUAAGGGAUAAAUCAACACAACGCUGAGAAUAACUGUGAAGUUGGAGGAAAAGAAGACACCGUUUUGAGAAUAGCGUCCCUCAGGAUGGUGGUGCCACCGUCGUGUAUUAACUCAUUAACUCCUAACAGAAUGAACCACUUUUUUUUUUUUUAAGUUUUAGUCUUAAACAUCUUACUUUGCAUGACUACUCUCCGAGGCACUGUUUGUCAUACAACCAGUGAAAGCGGCACAGCUUUAUAUUUUUUUUUUUACAAUUCCGUUCUGCAGAGACGUUUCAAGUUGUUACAUAAACAAACUCUGUGAAUGGGAAUUGAAUUUUGGUUGCAUAGUAACCCUCAUUGGUGCUGUUUGGGGAAAAUAUGUGUCAUAUGCAGAGAUUACUUGUGCUUUUCACUGUUCUGCCGUGCAGAACUGCUACACUGUCAGCUCCCUGACACACCCAUCACAUGAACAGGCAAGUUAAAGGGCUGCUGUGAGAACAGGGGUUGCUUCAAUACAUCUGUACUCAAUAUUGGAAUAAUAUCGUUGAAUUAUUGCUGGGCCUAAGCUUUCUGGCAGAGAAAGGCCAUAGGGAUGUUGCACCAACUAGCCGAGUCCAUAACUCUGGCAACUCUGUUGGUUUGCUUGGGCUUAGGCGAGUCCCAGCUGUCCUUAUGACAACAUGCCUUAUUAAUUCAAGCCCUCACGGCCGAGAGGAAGAAACCAUCCUCCUUCUCUGCUGUAUCUCAUGAGGAGAGAUGCACCCUUUUAUAUGCCUUCAUUUAGUGUACAAUUAAGAUGUUUUUACUGUGCUUUGGAAAAAUGUCGUAUCCAGUGAACUUUGUCUCAUCUUCUCAUGUUACAAUCACAGACUUUAAUGUAGCGUGUUUUAUUGGGCUCUUAUAUGAAACACCCUCAUUUUGAUAUGGAAGGAGCAUGAUGCAUGGUUAUCAGAAGCUUUUAGAGAUACAAGUUUGAAAAAUGCCCUUCCCAACUUUGCUUAAAAUUGAAAUUUUAACUUUUUUUUUUUUCUAAAACAGCUUCCACUCCACAAUCACGUGCAAAGUUUGUGGCUACAAUGCGACCAAACAUGGAAGCGCUCAAUAAGUGUGAAUAAAAUCACUUUAUUAAGACUUAUAUCAACUCGCCUUUUAUCUUUUGAUCUCUCUUUAUGCUGACAAGAUGUUGUACAAGGAACAAAGCACAGAAAGGCUGGCCUGUCUCCAUACGACUACACAGCAACAGGAAAUAGACGCCGACCUUGACGCAGAUGAACAGCUGCACCAAAGUGACACUUCAGCGGCUUUAAAGGCAGACAGACUGAAGGAGAAGCUCGUCUCCAGACUGUUUUCACAGGAAAAUGCCUGGAGGCCAGGAUCCAUCCAGGAGAGUUCUCAGCAGCUCUUCCACCAAUUUUGGGAUAAUCUUUCAGCUGAUGGCUCUUUGCCAAUGUCGCCAUGUAGAGUUGAGAUAUUAAAAUUCAUCAUUUCCAA